AGAAAAUGGCAGCGCGGGGGCUGCGGCUGGGAGUGGGGAGGCUGUCUGAGGUGCCGGCGGCGCUGAGAGGCGUAGGCCGAGCGUCCAGCUCGUCUCAGGCCUUUGCUGAGGUGCUUCGGCUGCCGAGGAGACAGCUGACGAAGCUGGUGUACCCGCUGCAGGAGCUCGAGCAGUACCUUGCCCCGGACGCGAGGGCGGACUUGCGGCCGAGGAUCUUCCACCCGAGCCUGGAGGACAUCUCGAAGGCCGAGAGCUUCUUCGCGUCCGGCGCCCGGAACCGCGUCGAGUACGUCAGCUCGGCGGUGCGGCUGGACCACGCCCCUGACCUGCGGCGGCCGGAGGUGUGUUUUAUAGGCAGAAGCAAUGUGGGAAAAUCCUCCUUAAUAAAAGCAUUAUUUUCACUGGCCCCUGAGGUUGAAGUCAGAAUCUCCAAAAAACCGGGGCACACAAAGAAAAUGAAUUUUUUCAAAGUUGGAAAGUACUUUACCAUGGUCGACAUGCCAGGUUAUGGCUAUAGAGCACCGGAAGAUUUUGUUGAUAUGGUAGAGGCCUAUCUAAAAGAACGAAGGAACUUGAAGAGAACAUUUUUAUUAGUGGAUAGUGCUGUUGGAAUUACAAAAUUAGACAACAUUGCCAUAGAAAUGUGUGAAGAAUUUGCAUUGCCUUAUGUGAUGGUAUUAACAAAAAUUGACAAAUCCUCUAGGGGACAUCUUUUAAAACAAGUGCUUCAGAUCCAAAGAUUUGUCAACAUGCAAACCCAAGGAUGUUUUCCUCAGUUGUUUCCUGUAAGGUAAGCACUGCAUUGUUUUUGUAAUUCUAAAAUUAGUCUCCGAUAGAAAUUAUUUCCAAAAGCCCUCAUUUUACUAUUAAUCUGGAUCAGCGUUAAACUCUAAUGAGCAAAAUGCCUGCUGGAAUCCCACUUCUUCACUGCAGAAGGCCACCCGGCACUCAGAAUCUAUAAGUUGACACCUCCAAGAAUAUCACCAUUCCCCAUACCAGUGACUGAAAAAAAAAUUAUGUAUGUUACAUAUGUACACCUUGCUUUAACUUGCAUGGCCAAGUGCCAGGCCCUCCCCCAAGAAGGGAAUUUGUCCAAUCCAGAAAUGGUUAUUAUAAAAUGUCACAUUGUUUCCUUCUGUAUCCUUGUGGUAGGUGAAGGAUAAAGUGUGGCAAAAACAUUUAGUCCAGUCAACUUGGUCUGUUAGCCUAUAAGGCAAAAAUGCUCCUCUUCAUGUUCCCAGCAGGGAAAAAGGUAGAAAUGAUGAAAGGCCUUGAAAGACUGAUGUUAGAAUUAGUGAGUUUUAUAGAUGUUGUUACAGAAUUUCUUCUCUGACUUUCCCCUAUAUUGAGUCCAAGCAGAUGAGCAUGACUGUAAGGACAGAAAAUUCUGGAAACUGACAGAACUUCUGCAAAGGAGUUCGUGGUGCCGCAAUUAGGUGCUAUGACCCAUUCUGGAAUUCAUCUGUUGAAAUGCUUUAUAGCAAAUAUAACAGGGAACCUUGACCUAACAGUGCCUAGUUUAGCUGAAGAUUCAAAA